CCACUCCAGCUAUACACACACCUAUUGUUUCUGAUCCCGUGGAAGCUCGCCACAAGCGUAGGAAAUAUUUGAACCAAAAGAAAAUGAAACAAGCAGUACAAAAUGGUCUUGCUGGUGCCCCUCUAAAUUGUGGCCAUUUUCCAAAGGAAUUGAUAGAUGCGUUGAAAGAAUCAUACACUGGGAGAUCUUAUUAUGGCUCACCUGAUUACGAGUGUCCUCAUUGUCAUGUUGUUUUUUGGUUUCAAGAGAGAGUAAAG